UUACUUUUUAUUUUCCCUUUAUUGUGAAAGCAAUUUAAAAACACAAGUUUUUUGCUGUUAAAUAUUUUAGGAACUCUCAUGGUCUAUAAUGCUUUUAGCAAACUUUUGCCAAGUUUCUCGCUAUGAUGAUGCAAAUUCAGAGCAAACCAGUAUGUAAUGAUCCUGAAACAACUCUUGCCCUGGUUUCAGGAUGAUGGGGCUGGAUGUGUUGGAGGCAGCAGAAUCUUGCAUGCCAGAGGGUGCUCUGUUCCUGCUGCAAACACUGUCAGACUGCUCCUCCAGCCCUUGCAUGGGGGAGGCAGCAUGGAGGGUUUGGGAUCUGUCAUAAUCAGCAGGAAAAUGAAGUAUUGGAUAUGCUUGUGUUGUGUCAUGUGGCAUCCCAAGGAAUGGAGGUUUUGGGAUUGCACCUUCUGCUCCUUGGCAGUGUUUUAUGUGUUCUGGGGCAUCUUAGAGAGAGGCUUUGAGAAUCAGGGUAGUUCAGGCAAGACAGUGAAAAUGAAGUGUGGGGGAGAGCAGGGAAAACCCUCUUGGGGCUGUGUCCAGGACUUGGGCUCCGUGAACAUUGUGGGUCCCUCCAACUCAGGAUAUUCCAUGAUUCUCCAGGGUUUUAACCCCUCCAGACAGUUGCAGAACUGGCUGUGCUUGGGAAACAGUAGCAAAACGAAAAAGGAAAUGUCUGCAAAGGGCUCACAAGGCUGGGAAGCACUGGGAACAGGGCCAGUGGGACGGGAUGCACGGAUGGAUGUAUGGAUCUCGGGAACGGGCCGGUGGGAUGGGAUGCACGGAUCCCAGGGAAGAACCAGGGGGAUGGGAUGCACGGAUCCCAGGAACGGCCUGGUGGGAUGGGAUGGGGUGCACGGAUGGAUGUGCGGAUCCCAGGAACGGGCCAGUGCGAUAGAUGGAUGGAUGCAUGGAUCCCGGGAACGGGCCGGUGGGAUGGGAUGCGUGGAUCCCGGGAACGGGCCGAUGGGAUGGGAUGCGCGGAUCCCAGGAACGGGCCAGUGCGAUAGAUGGAUGGAUGCAUGGAUCCCGGGAAAGGGCCGGUGGGAUGGGAUUGGAUGCGUGGAUCCUGGGAACGGGCCGAUGAGAUGGGAUGCGCGGAUCCCAGGAACAGGCCGGUGGGAUGUAUGGAUGGAUGCACGUAUGGAUGCGCGGAUCGCGGGAACGGGCCGAUGGGAUGGGAUGCGCGGAUCGCGGGAGGCGCCGCGCCCGGCCAGCCCGGCCUCUGCUGCCCCCUGCC
rnacentral:lncRNA from 1 species